GACGAACGCUGGCGGCGUGCCUAAUACAUGCAAGUAGAACGCUGAAGAGAGGAGCUUGCUCUUCUUGGAUGAGUUGCGAACGGGUGAGUAACGCGUAGGUAACCUGCCUGGUAGCGGGGGAUAACUAUUGGAAACGAUAGCUAAUACCGCAUGACAUUGAUUAUCGCAUGAUAAUUGAUUGAAAGAUGCAAUUGCAUCACUACCAGAAGGACCUGCGUUGUAUUAGCUAGUUGGUGAGGUAACGGCUCACCAAGGCGACGAUACAUAGCCGACCUGAGAGGGUGAUCGGCCACACUGGGACUGAGACACGGCCCAGACUCCUACGGGAGGCAGCAGUAGGGAAUCUUCGGCAAUGGGGGGAACCCUGACCGAGCAACGCCGCGUGAGUGAAGAAGGUCUUCGGAUCGUAAAGCUCUGUUGUAAGAGAAGAACGGGUGUGAGAGUGGAAAGUUCACACUGUGACG
rnacentral:rRNA from 1 species